GAAAUGAGGAGGAGAAAGAAGCCUUUGGAACUCUGGGAGAGCAGAGGAGGAACAGCCCAGCUGAAGGCACGGUAGGCACUGUAGAAGUCCAGCCUGCUAUUUGCUCAUUGCAACACAGCAAACGUGUGGCCUAGCUGUGAUGAAACUGGCCGUAGGAGCAAGAGAUCUGGCUGGAGAGGGCAAAACAACAUGCCUGUUCCCAAAAAUGGGAGGUUUUUUUGUGAACUUAAACAUGAGAAGGUUAUAACUUUCCAUUCAGAAGCCAAUGAAGAUGUUUACCAUGAUGGUUUAAGCCCUCCCCAAAGAAGAAAGAUAGUGCAUGGCUGUUCUCUUGGACGAUGGAUGCAAGUACAUGGCUUAGAGUAUCUAUUUCUAGAUUGGCAGAAGGAAGGAAUGCCAUCCAAGGGGACCUCGAUAAACUUGAAAGCUGAAUAAGAAGUGAGGGGAAAUACUCACACAAUUGCAAGUUUCUAUGAAUGGAAUGAUGGUGGAUACCCACGCUACUGGGUCCUGUGCCAGAUAGCUGAGGCAUAGCAUGGUGAGUCCCGCUCAUCCACACAGUGCAUGGCACUUCGUCAUCUCAGCCCUUUCCCUCUAAUAAGGGGUUGUGAUUUAGUAGUGUAGUUUGGUCUCCAUUUAUAAACAGAACACAUUGCAAUGUGAAAAUCUGGUUGUAAUCUUCCCGCGUGAUUUCUAGGGGCAAGGCACUUCAGUACUAAGCAAAGGGAAUGGGAGAAAUAUUUCUGUUGGGUCAUGUCCUUCUGUUAAACACCACUGACAGAGGCAGCUCAGUGGUGUCUUCGUGCUACUGGUGGCACUGUGCUGGGGAGGACCUGAGCUCUGCUGCUUUGGGGUCAGUGGCAGCAUCACUGCAUCCGAGUUUCAACAAAAGGACCUACAGACUGUUUUGCUACUCCACACAGAGCAGCUGCUAUCUGCACUGCAAAAGAUCCUGCUCCACACAGUUACUUUUAUUAAUUUUGUCAAAAAAAAAAAAAGCAAACCUCAAUAAAGAAAACAAACUUGACAGUUAUCCUCAACAUCUGUAGGUUCUACAUCCCCUGAUUGCUCUCUCAUUGCCACUGUUCUGAUAACUGAGUACUUGGGGUCAUGGGUUAUCAGAUACCUUCACCAAGUCACUGCUGGCCUUCACAUGCACUGCCUCUGAGGAUGGUGCCAUGAGGAUGCUCAGGCUUAAUGCUGGACAUGUUAGGAGGGAACCAAAAUGCUUUCCACGUGAACGACCCCUGCAUCAGCAGAAUAUGUGCUAGAAGACACAUUUCAGAGCAACAGCUUUAGUUCAGGAGAUAACAGAGGAGCAGCUUCCAUCUGCAAAACACAGUGUAAUCCAUCUGCUCUCUUUGACAUCUCUUUGCUGCCUUUUGCAAAACUUAUUUCCCACUGCCUCUGCGCUUUCCAAAUACACUGUGACUCAUAUUCUUCCCAGGUACAGCAAAGCUGUGAAUUCCAUUCAGACAUUAUAGCAGUUCUCCUAUUUUGAUGGUCUCCCACUUCAGUAGCUUUAGCAGGGUUUAAUGAAUGGAGUUCUUGGUGGGAAGAGUAAAACAGAUGUUUUGUUUUCUUUUGUUUUCCUUUUCCAGCAAACAGUGAAGUUAUUUCUACAGAAUAACACCAGAAGAGUGCAAGAUCCUGCCAAAUCUCAGAGCACUAACCUGCAGCCUUAGCAGCGUGUGCAUUUCCAUUUAACCCACCAGCAGCCAGAACAAUUAAUAUUUAGAGGAAACACGACUAAAACUGGCAGAUUUAAAAUGGAUUCACCUUCCCCCACUGUAGCCAUAUAAGAAAAUGUCUGCAUGGUGGACAGCCAACUUGGGGUCCCUCAUGACUGAGUGGAGAGGAAAAGGUGUAUUUAAGUGUGAAGGCCACUGCAGGGUGAGGUGGUUGAGGUUCUGUAGGAGUCUACUUCUCUUUGCUCACUCUAAGGGUGCCUAGAUCCUAUUUUGACAUCAGGGCACACACUGGGUCAGGUGAAACAUGCUGUUUUCAGGUCACUGAGUAGGUUGUGUGCUGGAAAAAAGUCUUCUGCCUGAUCAACCCAGAUUUGGAUGGAGCAAAGCAUGCCAACUCUUCCAAACCAUGGGGAAUGACACAAGAACAUAGUGGUAUCUCUCCGUGAUGAGUGGGGUGAUAACAUAAAACAUGACAAAAAGAACAAAAAGAACAAUGUCUGAGCUUUGGUAGGAAUGAAAUAUAAUAAAGCUCAGUAAGUCAUUGCCUUUCUUGGUAAAGUACCGUGUGCAACUAUAAAUUGUCUGUGUGAUUAUACAGGUGACAGAAGAUGUAUUGGUCUCUGAUCGCCAAACUGAUUUAAUGCAUGAAUCUGUAACAACAUUGUUUGUUUAAAUUUAUGACACCGGGCUGGAAUGAAGCCUCUCUGAUGUUUAAGAUGUGAUUUUACUUGCUGUAAGUACACUCCUUUGUUCUACGCCUGCACUCCUUCACUACCAAACCCUCCAAAUAGGUCUAAACCAAAGAAAUUUGAGUUAGAAUCAGGGCUUCCUAAUCUAAUUUUAAGCAUCUAUUUAAUAUCUCCUUGGAGGACCAAAUACUGAUGAUUUCUCCAUUUUAACAUCUUUGCUUUAGCAUGUAACAAAGCUGAAAUUACAUUUCCUAUCAGAGCAGUAGUAGCUGCUACCCGGAUGUCAGGUGAUGGUGAGAGAAAGAGAAGGGGCUUUGUUCUUUAGGAACACAAAGGGGAUACCACAGUGCUGCAGAGAGGAAGUGGCCACCCCAUAAAACGUCUGGGCUCCCUUCGCCUUGCUGGCUUCUCUCUGCAAAUGGAGGAAAGAGCCCUUCUUUGCAACUGGGCUCACGUUUCUUUUUCAUCAGAAGAAUUUAAAUGAAAAUGCAGGGCUUACCACCCAGAAUAGGUGCACAUUUAAGCUCUUCAUUCAAGUAAGCAGUCUUCUCAGGUUUCCAAAGGCCCAGAGGCAGCUCAGCUUUACUCUUAGAAAAGGGCCACUUUUUCAAGCAAAAUUGCUUCAAAUCCCCCUCUUAACCACCACUUAUUUCAAAGCUUAAAAAGAUAGGCAAAGCUUCUUGGAUAAACCAAGCAACCAAACUAUAUUCCUUAACAGGGAAGACCCUGAUAUUGAGUUAUAUCUUGCCAAACAGCAGUCAGUCUUGGAGGUCGUGGGCUAAAUGAACAAGGAUUUCCAUGGAAAAUGACCUAGGAUCCUUCUCUCCCUGAGCUUUCUGUAGAGCUGUCCAUUGGAAGACAUACUGCUGGGAAAAUACUGCAAAGGCAGUUCCCAGGAAUACUCACUUUAAUGCCUUACUGAAUGUUCUGUAGCUGUGCUUACGUUCAUUUUAAGUUUCUCUUUCCAGUAACGAACCCAUUUACUGACAAGAACAAUUAUAGAAGCAAAAAAAAAAAAAAAAAAAAAAAAGGGAAGAAAUUAUAUAAUGCAAAUAUUCACAUUGGAAACUUGGCACAAAAGGAUAUGUUCCUUUGAUCAUGGAAUAAAG
ensembl:lncRNA